UACGAAGGGGGCUAGCGUUGUUCGGAAUUACUGGGCGUAAAGCGCGCGCAGGCGGCUUUCCAAGUCAGGGGUGAAAUCCCAGAGCUCAACUCUGGAAUUGCCUCUGAGACUGUGAGGCUUCGAGUACGGGAGAGGUGAGUGGAAUUCCCAGUGUAGAGGUGAAAUUCGUAGAUAUUGGGAAAGAACACCGGUGGCGAAGGCGGCUCACUGGCCCGUUACUGACGCUCAUGCGCGACAGCGUGGGGAUCAA
rnacentral:rRNA from 1 species